CCGAUUCGUAAGGGGUGCUUUAGGCUGAGACGGUAUGUGCCGAACCCUUCGAACCUGUGAGCUAACACUCGCGUAGGGAAUGCGACGGUUGAACUCC
rfam:Bifidobacterium longum NCC2705, complete genome.